UAACUAAAGGUAAUAGAGAAGAAGCUUGACCGAGAGUUGACAUUGCCGCAUGGGAAGAAUACCUUUGAUAUACCAUGAGACCACGCCUUGGUAGAUAUUGGCUUGCCCGCAGCGCUACUCCAACUGAUUGGUAUCGAUCCCGCGCAGCUUUGUCGAGCUUAGUCAAGGAAGCUCGAGUCUCGCGAACCACCACCGGCAGCUAGAGAACCCAAACACCAUGAGCUUCCAGCAACUACACAC
rnacentral:lncRNA from 1 species